UAUCAUGGAGCAACCAGCUGGGAAUGAACUUCUACUGUUCUCCUCAGUGGAUGUCAAGAGAACAAGAUACAGAAAUCUGAACAUGUAUGGUCGUCAAACUAUAACACAUCUAUACAAUUGAAUGAAAUUCAUGAUGAAUCAUAUAUAUCUAUUUACUAGGAGAUCUUUCGCUUUAUGAAAGAGGAAUUGGAGGAAGAAAUUCAUUGUAUAGGAUUUACAUGCCUAUAAUAGAUCAAGAUAUAGAAAUCUGAACAUGCGUAAUCAUCAAACCAUAACACUUUUAAUACAAUUGACUGAGGUUUUCAUGAUGAAUCGAAUAUAGCUCUGCACUAAGAGAUCUUUCUUCUAUUCAAGGAGGAAUUUGAAGCAGAAGUUCAUGGUACACAGUGACAUGCCACCUAUCAUUCCAAGGUGUUGGCACUUUAUACAUCUGGACACUUUAGAUGGGAGCAAGAAAUACUGAUGACCAAUGUCUGUCUUAUGCAAUAUAGAUUGAAUGAUGAACAUCUACUGGAGCUUAGGCAUUGUACAUCUGCCUGAUACUCCUUAUAGUUGUCAUGAUGUCAUUCCCUCGCCAUCGUAGGCUUUUUGUGCCUUUGUGUCUAUUUUUAUUCUCAUUCUUCCAUGGCACCGUAAGGAAUGCAUUGAAUUUAUAUUUUGUGAGUUUCAUGUUUUGAGGUUAAGACAAUGUUACUGUCACAGGAAUUUUUGUACAAUAUACCUUUCCAUAAAGCAAGGAAACAUCCUAGCUGGAAUGAGGCCAUUUAUUACUCCACAAUGUUCUCAAGAUGGACACCUAAAUGCAUACAUUUGUCUAUUAGCUCUGUUGUGACUGGUGAUUUUGUGUGCAUGUGCUUGCUAGCUUGCAUGUGUUCUCUACAAAAAGGGUAGGGUUCUCUUGACUUUUAAGUCAUGGUUAUUCAGAUAAGAAUUUGGCAGGUUUAAAGGUGUCCAUGGUUGAUGAGAAUAUUUUGAACUGUCAUAUGUGAAUGUGUGCCAAUCAUUCUAUGAACCAUGCUCAGGAUAAACUUUUAAGAUGUUUCUUUAUUUUUCUUUGGUGCAGUUUUGUUGAUUAAUUCAUUAGAAAACCCUUAUGUAUGAGCAUCUUCUCUGUGCUCAGUUAUAUCUCAGUUAUAUCAAUAGUCUGAUUAUUGGACCAAUUUUAUAGAACUUUGAUGUCAUCUAUAGAAUCUGAAGCUGUUAAGAUUUCAUAUGGAGGUUAUAUUUGACGGCCAAAGGUGGAGGCUUGUAUUGCUUGCCACAGUUCCAGGACAGUUGUGGUUAUGUCACGUAUCAUAUAUUUUAAACAUCAUUGUGGCAGCGUUGUCAUCUUAUUCUGACAAAUAAGUGAGCAAAUAUGAUUUUUUAUCUCCUAUAUCUUUUAUCAUUUCUUAUUUGGGCUAGCUGCAUUCAUGUGAUUUGUGACCUACGAUUGCAACACCAUAAAAGAUCUGUAGUUGAAUCCUAAGUAAUGCAGAUCUUGAAAUUGUCCAUUCUCAAACCUUCUCCUACCUACUCAAUUAUAUCAAACAAACUUAAAAGCAAAAUUGCAAUGGUUUAGAUUGAGAAGAUUUUAAUGAAAGCUGAAGUAGCAACAAAUUCAGGUAUGGAGUUCUUUGACAUAAAUAGACAAGAGGAUAUGAAUGGGGAAUUGGGAAUAACAUGAAAAAUUCAUCCAAUAAUUAAGAAGCAUUUGAAUUAUGUGCUUUUUAGAUGAACUAUUGAAAAUCUGACAAAAAAGGGUGUGCUUAGUAUCUGCAGAGAAAUGAUUACAAGCACUACAAACCAUUUCCUUAAUCUGUUUGGAAAGUUUAUACAGAAAUGGUCCAAUUUUCAUAUUUGUAUUCAAUGACAAUGGCUUUAUUUAUUUUUUCUUUAAUAGUGAUAUAUACAUAUUUUUAACUGAGCUUAACGUCUUCUGGUUUUAAGCAAUAAGUGCAUAAUACAUCUGUGAGAAAAAGAUAUGAAAGAAAUAUUCUAGUGCGGGAAUGCUAAUAAUAGCAGUCUUGAUGGAAUGGAGUAGACUAACUGGCAAAGUCGUGGUAAUUCCCUAAUAUGAUUAAUUUGAAAGUUUUGAAAUUACUCAUCAGGCUGAAGGAAGAGAAGUAUAUAUGUAAUGCAUAUAAUAUUUUGUGUUUAAGGGAAACAUAGUUUGGAAAGGGAUAGGUGGAUUAGAUACAUAGCAUGCUGUUUUGUUCCAAAGGUGAUGCCUUUGAAGUUGUGUGACUUUGUGGUUUAGUUUUUGUUCUUAUGUUUUAUGCUUUUGUGACUUGCAAGACUUUUUUUGGUUUUAUUAAGCCUUUGUAACUUGGGGAGUUCUAAAGCUUCAUAUAGGUCUGUUACAGAGGAAUUUAUUAUACUACUAAACCUGAAAUGUUGCAUUUGGUGAUUCACGAGGUUGUCAGGCUACCUAAGGUGAGGCCAAAUGGGGAAAACGCCUAUGUGGUCUAGGUGGGUGCCUGGGCCUAGGUUCUUAGGCUUCUGCACAGGGAGGAAAGCCGUCCAAGCUUUUAGCAUGCAUACCUUUAGUUAUCUGCAUAGACAAACUUGUGCAUAUAUAUAAAUAUAUCAUCUUUUUCUCCAUAUAUGAAAAGAAGGAGAGCAGCAACAGGCAGGGUGCAAACAACAACCAAGCCACCAGCAACCAGCACCCAGCAAGCAGCAGCAGGAUGAAGAGGAGGGCAGGAAGCAACGGCCAAUAUGUUGCAAGCGAAGAUCAUCAAAGGAGGAGGAGGAGGAGGAGGCAAGCAAAAUAAAGGCUAGCAAGAAGAACAAAAUAGAAAAAUGGAAGAAUGGCUAGAUGAAGAAGAGAUAGGAGUAGAAGGAAAGGAAGAAAAAUCAGAGGAAGUAGGAGAACAUGAAUAUUGGUCUGAAGAAGAAUAAGAAAAAAUACACACAAAUGUGGCAUUGUGCUGGCCAAAUAGGGGAAGGCAAUGGGAAAGGAAACUCUUAAAGAAGGGUUUAGGUUGGUGGAUUGGCAUGGUUUUACAGGGGAAGGUAAUGGGGAAGGUGACAUGGCAUGCAUAUUUUUACAGGGUUGAACAUGUCAUCUAGUAAAAGGCUAGAAAGCAAACAGGGUUGUAUAACUGUUGUUUGUUCCACAUGUGACAUGGUAGGACAUUAGAUUGGAUGUUGCUUUUGCUCUUCCAUUAAUGAUCGGUCACUCCAUGCAUGUUAUAGUGGAUAACUUUUUAUGGGGUCACAUUUUUUUCCCUUGCACCAAGAUGGUUGGCAUGUGUUACAUGAGAAAGUUGUUCUUUAAUGAGAUAGACUGAAUGUUCUCUUGAAGACCAUUGUGUUAGAUCUGGAUCACAAGUUGAUGAGCUAUUUUUGGAGAAGUUUGGAAAAUGCUGAAGAUGACAAUCCAAUUUUCCACUGCAUACCAUCCAUAGACUGAGAAAUAGAUAUAGGAGGUAAAUAUUGGUCUUAGGGGAUCUGUAGAGAUGUUUUAUAGGAGGAGAUCAUCUGUCUAGUUGAUAUACGUGCCUCCAAUGGCAGAAUUUUUUUAAUUAGCUCCUUCAAAAUGACUACUGUCUACCGAUAAUUGUCUUUUUAAGAUUGUAAUGAUUUAUCCUCAGAAACUUGUAGAUUUGGUUUCCCAACCUGUAGCAUCUUGAUUUAAUGAGUUGGCAUAUUCAUUUCAUUUGCAUAUCAUAUGCAUGAUCUACAUGAUGAAAAUGUUGAAGCAUAGCUCUGGGCCAUGAGGGCCGCAAAUCUGCAGUGGAUGUACCAGCAGGUGUUGGUUGUUUGGAGAAGAAGAUGUGGUGAUGAGUUUGGAGUUUGCUAAGUGAGUUUCCCAUGAGAAUCUUGAAGAAAUGAAGCACUAGAAGGACAAUUUGCUAUCUUUUCUUGUGAAAGAUUGGUGCAAAUGGCUAUUAGUUGGAUCUUUCUAAGAUAUGGGGAUCAGCCUUGUAUUUAAAGUGGAGGAUUUGAUGCUCUACCAGGAGCCUACAAACAUAAAUAAUCAGACAGCUAGACAAUGAAAAGAGGAAGUAUAUCUUUACACGGCAACUAGAGAAAUCACGGGUAGGGUAUCGCUUUCAUGAUUAGUAGAUAGCCAGAAAGAUAGCCAAAAGACUGUUGUAUGGCAAAGAAAAGGAACCUAUGUUGAUUUGUUUAAGAACAGAUUGCUUUUUGAGAUGCACAGAAGGUCCCUCAGGCAAUCUUGUAGAAUCACAAGUAGAUUUUAGCAAACAACAAACAGAAGCAUUAAUCAAAUCUCCAAGAUGGCAAAAGGAUGGACUGCUAUAGUGUGAACAGAUUGAUUUCAGGACUGCAGUAGUAAGAAUCCAGGAAGGACAAAAAUUCAAAGUUCUAGACGGCGGCUAGGGUUCCAACAAGAAUCAAAGGCAAUCCUCGUCAAAAAUCUCUAAUGGUGGAGGUAGAGGGCGAUGAAGAAGGUUGAUGAGGAGACGGAAAGUGGCGGCAGCGGUGGUGGUUUAAAAGGCUUUGAGAAGGGAGGAGACAGAUAGAAUUUUUGAGAAGGAAGUUGGAACCUUGGUGCGGCUAGGGCUUUGAAAGUUGCUGGCAAAGAGGAGGGGCUAUGACAUGGGCUGCUGUGGCUAGGGCUGCUGCAGAAGAGCUGUUGCGGCUAGAAAGGGCUGCUGUAGCCUAUUGUUGAAGGAGGGGCGGUGGAGGGCUAGGGUUGUGGAGAGGAUGCGGCAACUGCUCUGAUACCAUGUUGAAAGGAAAAGCUCAAAAGAAAUUUAAUUCAUUAAUGAGAUUCCAUCUCUUUAAAUAGAUGAAAAACAAGUAUAUAAGGAAAGAAGUACAUAUUUGGAAAGCAAGUAUAUACCAUAUUUAGAGAUAUACUAAGUAUGUCCUUUCUAUAUAAGGACUUAAUAAGUAUAAUUCUAACAUCUACUAUUGCACAUUCCGUAGCUCCAUUGGACUUGGUGUUAGUGCUUCCUAAGCCUCCCAUCUCACCUCACAAACUAUUAAGAAAGUGGAUGAGAUUGGGGACAUCAUUGAUGAACAGACAAUUUCUACCUGCAUUUGCGGCUUUCAGAAGUAUUUGUUCAAUUGAAGUGGAUAUCCAGCAUUAGAGAGCAUGUGAAUAACUGCUUAUGAGUUAUAGAAGCUUGGGUUGGAGCUCCUUGAGUGAUACCCACAGCUUUUAUUUGUUGGAGGUGAAUUUUUCCAAGCUAGGGGGGUCGCAGUGGACUUUUGGUGUAUACAAGGUGCACAAUGAUAUGUCUGAGCCUUUGUGUUGAUUGUGCUUGGGAAUUAGGCUAGAAAGCAUCAAAGUCAAGCUAAAGCCAAACUAUAGUUGUUUUUUUUUGGUUGUAUCUAAUUUCACUUAUGGACUCCUAAGGAUUAAUUUUACUUCAGGGAUAUAAUUGCCUAAGACUAUUGAUGGUCUGACAGGCCAUAUAGAAACUUCUUUUAGGGGUUUUAUGUAAAAGAACUGUUUAACCAAUUCAACAUAUACAUGCUUGUUAUUCUAAAUGGAAAAUUUUAGAUCUCUCUCUUUUUAUGCAUGAGAUAUGUUGGAGACAGGUGUGAUUCCCCAUUAUGACAAUGUGGCUUUGGUUAAAAUUUUCCACUCUCUUAUUUGAUCUCUUUGUCAUAUCUUUUCUCCAUUUCCUUCAUGUCCCUUAUGGCUGAAAAAAGUCCAAAAGUGUUUCCUACUUCCUGCCCCAUUGCAACAGCCUGUCUACGGUCAUCAAACCAACCCAUAGCAAGACAGAUCUUAGUGGAGCCAGAUCCAAGAGGGACCUACCAGACCUCUUUCUUCUGAGGAGAAAAGUCUUGUCUUCUGAGAGCAACUCCUAACAUGUUAGACAUUUGCAGAUCUGCUAACAUUAUUAGAGUUGAAGCUCAUCAUUUGUGUUUUGUUUCACUUCAUCUUUUGUUGUUCUCUUAUGGUCCUUGGGCUCUGUGGAAGUCCUGCAGCAGCAAGAACAGCGACAAAGGAGAUAUCCAAUCCUAGGGCUGCCGUGUAUCAUCUAGAAGCAGGAAGCAAGAUACGGCUGAUUCCUGACAGUGGCUCUGCCGCUCCAGUAGUUUGAUUAGCAUCCUUUGAAGACUUUUAAUGGCAUAAAUGUUUGCUUUCGGACACUUGUACAUUUGGCAAUGUUUUUAGUGUUUCAUCUUUGCAUAUAGGUUCAGAAGGGUUGUUUCGCAUCUGUAGGUGCAGCGCCUUUUUUAAGGUGCGGUACCGAUACUGCAAGCUCUUUUUUGUACUUCAUGAUGCAACGGUGAGCUGAACUUGCACAGAGUGGUAGUAGAUGUAUCUGCAUCCUGUGAAAGCUUAAGCUUUUAAAGCAGGUUCAUGAAGUUCAAAUUUCGAGGCUAUGGCAACGCGUUUCAUCUUUUGUAUAAUAUUCGUAAAACAAAUAUUUUAAGUUUCUCUUGCUAAUAUUAUGGCAUGACAUCUCUUUUGAGAUGCAGGUUCCUUGAAAUCAAGAGAUUUGGAGAUCCUAAAAAACCAAAAUGUUUUUAUGAUGGCCAGCAUCAAAUGAAAAAGUCGCCUCCAAUCAAAGGUGUGGUCGUCUUGCUAUUGUAUGCAUGCCCAGAUGGCUGGCUUUAUCGUUACAAAAUUCAUUUAUGUGCCAGCUUGACACUGUUUUUUUCCGGUGCGAUGUACGGAGUAACAAAAAAAUAUAUAUAUAUAAAGAAAAAAUUAUAUAUUUUGUUAAAAUUAAAUAAAAUAAUAAUUAAAAUUAAUUAAUUUAAUAUAAAAAUAAUUAAUAAAUAAUUUUUUUAUGAUUAAUAUAAUUUUUUAUUAAAUUAUAAUAAAUAAUAUUAAAUAUUUAGAAUGAUAUUUGUUAAAUACUUAGAAUGUCAUUUUUCAAAAAAUCAUCAGUCUGAUCCUUGCUAUUAAAUUAUAAUAAAUAAUAUUAAAUAUUUAAAAUAUCACUUGUCAAAUAAUUCAGAAUAUUAUCUGUCAAAAAAUCUUCAAUCUGAUUCUUUCUAUUAAAUUAUAAUAAACAAUAUUAAACACUCCGCUAGUCAAACAUUUAGAAUGUCAUUUGUUAAAGAUUACCAAUUUGAUUUUUUUUUUUUUGUAUUAUAUUAGAUUUUUGUUCUUGCUUCAAUUAUUUAAUUGCUUUGUUUUAUGAGUUUGACACAGUCAAUUUAGGAAACGAUGAAGUUGCAACAAUCCUGGACAGAUCAUGAGUUGCAUGCUUAUUGUUCACCUGUUUAUUUACAUAUAUAGUUAUAUCAGCAUUUGUUUUAAGUUAGAUUUCAUCCUUUCUUUUGGUAGGCUGAAUACAAUAUUCUUGCGUUUUGCUUGUUAUGAGAAAUUUAAGCUAUUUGUUUUUGUAUUUUUGGCUUUUGGGAGGGAAUUUUCUUGCAAUUACAAAAUUUUUUUCUAGUAUUAUUGCCUAGCUCGUAUUGUUCAUAGCUUCUGAACCUGGCGCAAAACUGGACGAAUCUCAGGGCUCUCCUUAGCCCCGCUCAAGUGAAGCAAAGCUCAGGCGCGGGGAGAAAUUAGGAGUUAUUUUAAAUAAGUAUUAUGUAUUGGUUGGGCUUAGGCUAGGUGGAUUUCUACUUGCUGAAAGAGAUUUUUAAAUUACAACCGCAUUUUUUUUUUCUAUUUUUCCUACCAUUUUCUGGAAUGUAUGAUGCGGGGUUCCAUGCGCUGAAUCAUGAGGGGAUGGUUGGUGGAUAGUUGUAUUUUAUUGCUUUAAGAAUUUUCUUAAAAAUAUACUUUUGCUUUUAAAAAGUGCACAUCCUCUCCAGCCAUGCGUUACUUAAGCAGAAGGGGCAUUUAUUUAUUUGUUGACCACUUGACAUUGUGGGGCGUGCAUCUAUGCUGAGGAUGAGGUGCGUGUAUUUUCUUCCUUAUAUGAUGUCUAGUUAAGAUAUUAAUUUAUGGCAAGUUGUAGUUUUUUUUUUUUUUUUUUUUUGAUUGAUGCGUGCUGUUCUUAGGACCGCGCAAAUAGUGUACGCGCCAGACUGCGUGAGUUAGUUAGGACCACAUGGCACAACUAAACAACCGGCUGAGCCAGACCAAAAAUUGGUACACUACGGCAAGGCCUCCGUAUACCAUACUCGUCGAUGCAGUACACGGGGGUGCAUGCUGUGUGCGCCGAACGAUUACCGUGCGUACAUACGCUUGUGGGGCUCUGCUUUCGUCCUUGGAGGCGAACAUAAUGGCGGGUUGGAUGCUUUUUAGGGGCUGAGCGCUCAAAAAGAUCUUGUGAACCAUCUUUAUGCUCUUCAAUAUUUCAAUCGCCGAUGGAUUGGAUUAUCUUCUCUA